ensembl:lncRNA
CUUUCAGAUUACUGCUAUGAUGGCAGUGUCUUGCUGUAGCACAGGGAAGUGAGAGAUAUGGUAACCUCUGGAGUGCAUUUUUUUGCUUUUCAGGACAUUUUACUUCCCAAUAGGAAGUAAGAUAUUAAUGACAAUAAAAGCGUCAAAGCGUUCGUUUUAGCUGAUUGUACCUUGCCUCAGUGGGAGUAUGCUGUAAGCUUUUCCCUCUUAGUUGGUAUUCUGUGAGGCUGUGCUAUGAUCAGCAUAUUUGAUUUCUUCUGCAGUUGAGAGCACCAUUAAGCUUUCCUUGGAAGGGAGCAGGACUCAGUUUGCCAGAUCCUCUUGCCUCUCCCUCCUGUAAUUUCAUAUGGUGGAACCGGAGCUACAGCUGCAAAAGAUCCUCCCUUUUUGAAGUGCUGUGUGAAUUUCCAUACAGCUCACUACCUUCACUACUGACGGGAGCCAGCAGAUAGUUGAAGAGCAGACCGUGAACUUUUCUGACCAUGUUUAUUUUAAAAUGUUAAGCUGAAUGAUAUAUGAAGUCACAGAAGCCCCAGAACUCAGUUUUCUGAUGUGUUUCUGCUUUGGCAUCACCACUUACUCAUCGUAUCAUACUGCUUUUUUGUCAUGGAGUUAUCUCUAGAUCUGUCUGUGUCCGUGAUGGGGACAGCAGGUCUGCAAGCCCACCGGUCUGAAAAAGAGGGGAAGGGAACAAAAAGGGAAAGGAACAAUAAUAACUAAAUAAAUAAAAACAGCGGCAACGAUCUGAUGAGGAAAGUUAAUUUACUAAUUGUAAUAGCAGGAAUACAAGUUAAUAGGAAUUGAAGCUAAUAAACCAAAUAAGUGAGAGAGAAUGUCCAAAACUGAAGGCCUUACCCUAAAGCUGAAGGUGAGAUGGAUAUGGAGCAACACACUGUGGAGAUGAGCAGAAAAGGAAAUGGGGCAUCUCUGGAGCAUUAACUCUUUAACUUCCAGUGCUCUACAUGACGUUAUGAUGUGGAAUAUGGACAACAAAAGUCACAAAACCAUGAAUCCAGUUUUGCUUAAAGUAACUAUGAACAGUCCCUGCUGAUAGCUUUUCUACAGCAGAUGAAUAGUUCUGUGUCUGUCAGAUAUGUCUAUCAAGUUCUUCUCCAACGACUGGGCUAAUAAGGGGUCACUGAGUGUGCAACUCAAUUAUAAAGAAACACUUCUUGAGGAUCUAGAGACCUAAGCGUCUCAUUCUGGUGUUGACCUAUUCCGUGAAGGCACAUCUGGGUAUGCCUCACACAAAUAGUGUAUCUGUAAGCUGUUGCUUUAGUGCCCAAAGUAC